AUUGAACGUUGGCGGCAGGCUUAACACAUGCAAGUCGAGCGGUAGCACAAGAGAGCUUGCUCUCUGGGUGACGAGCGGCGGACGGGUGAGUAAUGUCUGGGAAACUGCCUGAUGGAGGGGGAUAACUACUGGAAACGGUAGCUAAUACCGCAUAACGUCGCAAGACCAAAGAGGGGGACCUUCGGGCCUCUUGCCAUCAGAUGUGCCCAGAUGGGAUUAGCUAGUAGGUGGGGUAAUGGCUCACCUAGGCGACGAUCCCUAGCUGGUCUGAGAGGAUGACCAGCCACACUGGAACUGAGACACGGUCCAGACUCCUACGGGAGGCAGCAGUGGGGAAUAUUGCACAAUGGGCGCAAGCCUGAUGCAGCCAUGCCGCGUGUGUGAAGAAGGCCUUCGGGUUGUAAAGCACUUUCAGCGAGGAGGAAGGUGGUGAACUUAAUACGUUCAUCAAUUGACGUUACUCGCAGAAGAAGCACCGGCUAACUCCGUG
rnacentral:rRNA from 1 species